rnacentral:rRNA from 1 species
ACGUAGGGGGCGAGCGUUGUCCGGAAUUAAUGGGCGUAAAGCGCACGUAGGCGGGCUGUUAAGUCGGCCGUGAAAGGCACUGGCUUAACCGGUGUUUGUCGGUCGAUACUGGCGGUCUUGAGUAUGGGAGAGGGAACUGGAAAUCCCGGUGUAGCGGUGAAAUGCUUAGAUAUCGGGAGGAACACCAGUGGCGAAGGCGGCUUCCUGGCCCAUGUCUGACGCUGAGGUGCGAAAGCUGGGGGAACGAACGG